UGCAGACUUGUGUCCUGCAUAGCCU
rnacentral:piRNA from 1 species